rnacentral:rRNA from 1 species
GACGAACGCUGGCGGCGUGCUUAACACAUGCAAGUCGAACGGAAAGGCCCUGCUUGCAGGGUACUCGAGUGGCGAACGGGUGAGUAACACGUGGGUGAUCUGCCCUGCACUUCGGGAUAAGCCUGGGAAACUGGGUCUAAUACCGGAUAGGAGCCAUUUUUAGUGUGAUGGUUGGAAAGUUUUUUCGGUGUAGGAUGAGCUCGCGGCCUAUCAGCUUGUUGGUGGGGUAAUGGCCUACCAAGGCGGCGACGGGUAGCCGGCCUGAGAGGGUGGACGGCCACAUUGGGACUGAGAUACGGCCCAGACGCCUACGGGAGGCAGCAGUGGGGAAUAUCGCACAAUGGGCGCAAGCCUGAUGCAGCGACGCCGCGUGGGGGAUGACGGCCUUCGGGUUGUAAACUCCUUUCGCUAGGGACGAAGCUUUUUGUGACGGUACCUAGAGAAGAAGCACCGGCUAACUACGUG